rnacentral:rRNA from 1 species
UGGGGAAUAUUGGGCAAUGGGCGAAAGCCUUACCCAGCAACGCCGCGUGAGGGAAGAAGGUUUUCGGAUUGUAAACCUCUGUCCUGGGGGACGAAGGAAGUGACGGUACCCCGGGAGGAAGCCCCGGCUAACUACGUGCCAGCAGCCGCGGUAAUACGUAGGGGGCGAGCGUUGUCCGGAAUUAUUGGGCGUAAAGGGCGCGUAGACGGCCGAGUAAGUUAUAGGUGAAAGCCCAUCUUUCAAGGAUGGAAUUGCCUGUAAUACUGCCUGGCUUGAGUGCAGGAGAGGGAAGCGGAAUUCCUAGUGUAGCGGUGAAAUGCGUAGAUAUUAGGAGGAACACCAGUGGCGAAGGCGGCUUUCUGGACUGUAACUGACGUUGAGGCGCGAAAGCGUGGGGAGCAAACAGGAUUAGAUACC